GACGAACGCUGGCGGCGUGCUUAACACAUGCAAGUCGAACGGAAAGGCCCUGCUUGCAGGGUACUCGAGUGGCGAACGGGUGAGUAACACGUGGGUGAUCUGCCCUGCACUUCGGGAUAAGCCUGGGAAACUGGGUCUAAUACCGGAUAGGAGCCAUUUUUAGUGUGAUGGUUGGAAAGUUUUUUCGGUGUAGGAUGAGCUCGCGGCCUAUCAGCUUGUUGGUGGGGUAAUGGCCUACCAAGGCGGCGACGGGUAGCCGGCCUGAGAGGGUGGACGGCCACAUUGGGACUGAGAUACGGCCCAGACUCCUACGGGAGGCAGCAGUGGGGAAUAUUGCACAAUGGGCGCAAGUCUGAUGCAGCGACGCCGCGUGGGGGAUGACGGCCUUCGGGUUGUAAACUCCUUUCGCUAGGGACGAAGCUUUUGUGACGGUACCUAGAUAAGAAGCACCGGCUAACUACGUG
rnacentral:rRNA from 1 species